CAUCAAAUACAACUUACAUUUCAAUAUUAUGAAUGAACACGAAUGCGGCCACUUUCAUUUUAAACGGAAACCGUCUAAAAUGCUCAAAUUGUGAAGAUUUCAGUAAUUUAGCAUGACUUAAUGAUGCUAGUACCCGAUAUAUGUGCAUUGUAUUGUCAAAAACAGCCCAUAUUUAUGUAGCAGAAGCAUUCUACUUUCCAGUAAAUGGCUAAAAGAUUACAUUUUCAUACUUUUGUAAAACUGCUAUAUUUUGGGGCCAAAAAGGGGUCUUACUGAACCUACUCCUUUACUCAAAAAUAUUCAGCACCAACCAUUAGUAUAACACCUAGCAGGUUAUCUUAGUUUUAUUUUAUUUUGUUAUAUAUGUUAAUUUAUUCCUUUUCCUUUUCUCUCUGUAGAAUAUUAUAACAAAUGUAUUUUAGAGUAAUUCCAACAACCAUUGAAUCAUCUGAUCUUAUAAAUACUUAUUCUAUAACAGUGGCAGAUCUAGAGGAUGGGGGUUCAAACCCCCAGAACACCCCUUUUUUUUUGGAUGAUCAAUGCAUUUGAAUGGGGAUAUCUGGUUUAAACUUGGUACCCCCUCCCCCUUUUCUCCUGGGAUUGGAACUACUUUUUAAAAAUGGCUGGAUCUGCCCAUGGGUUCUCUAUGUGAUUUUAUUCAUGAAAAACAUUGGCAACAAGUAUACAUGUUUUUACUUUAUCCCUCUGAUACAAUCUCUCUAUGAUUAUGUAUUUGUGAUAUUUAUGGUUUCAAUAAUUUAUAAACGUAAUCAAUUAGUCUCUGCAUUUAUCACUUCAGUUUCGCAUUAAGCAAUAGAGUAUUGUUUAAUAAAUUGUUAUAAAAUUGAUUCUUAAUAUCCUUAAUAAUUUUGUUGUCAAAUUAAUUUGAUAAUACAGAAAUAAUUUGUUUUAUAGCCAUUUAUAGAAAUGAUUAGCUUGGUAACAGACAAUGAUGUUAGUCAUGCCAUAGAUGUAAUAUUACAUCUAUGGUCAUGCUAUUCAGUACUGAGUCCUUAUAGGAUGUAUAGAGUAUAGAAGGUUUUGUUGUUACGAAUAGAAAUCAACUUUAUGCAAGUGCAUGUAUACAUGUUUAUAAUAAGACUUGGAUUGAUUUUGAAACAUUCAGAUGAAUGAAAAAGAAAGAUGAAUGUUGGUCUGUUUUGUAGUGACUUUCUUAUAACAAAUCAAUAAUGUCAAUUUCUAUCCGAUGCAGCUGGUAUGAUGUAGAAUUGGAAAGUUUGCCUGUUCUAUCAGCUAAAAGCACACACUUAGAGGAGAAACGAAAUAUCUAGACUAAUUUAAUACAUCUCCACUGUUUAAGAAAUUAAAAUAUUCUUUAAUAAAAUCCUAUCAAUUCCAACUUUUAAAAAUUUGUCUGAUUUAUUAAAAAUGACCUGAUUUGACAUGGACCAAAAAUAGUCACAUUAACAGAAAAACUAAUAACAGUGCAUAUAUACACACAAAAUUAUUUUUAGAUCUAGUCUAUAUUUAUCAUGUUGUGAUAUAGUUAUACAUUUAUAUCUGUUUAUUUUGACAAUGUUAUACAUGUAUUUACUUGUAAUAAAUAUCUGUAAC
rnacentral:lncRNA from 1 species